UAGGGAAUAUUGCACAAUGGGGGAAACCCUGAUGCAGCGACGCCGCGUGAGUGAUGAAGGCCUUCGGGUCGUAAAGCUCUGUCGUAUGGGACUAACAAAAUGAAGGUACCAUGCAAGAAAGGAUCGGCUAACUUCGUGCCAGCAGCCGCGGUAAGACGAGGGAUCCUAGCGUUGUUCGGAAUUAUUGGGCGUAAAGCGGGUGUAGGCGGACUUAUAAGUCAGGUGUGAAAUCCCAGGGCUCAACCCUGGAAGUGCACUUGAUACUGCAAGUCUUGAGUGUGGUAGAGGCUAUUAGAAUUCCCGGUGUAGCGGUGAAAUGCGUAGAUAUCGGAAGGAACAUCAGUUGCGAAGGCGGCUCUCUGGACUCAAACUGACGCUGAGGCACGAAAGCGUGGGUAGCGAACAGGAUUAGAUACCCAGGUAGUCCCUGAG
rnacentral:rRNA from 1 species